GACGAACGCUGGCGGCGUGCCUAACACAUGCAGGUCAACUUGAAGGAAGGAGCAAUCUGACCUGAUGGUGGCGCAAAGGGUGCGUAACGCGUAAGUAACUUGCCCAAGGUAAGGAGUAACGUCGAGAAAUCGGCGCUAAUACCUCAUAAUGCAGCGGACCCGCAUGGGUAUGUUGUUAAAAGGUUUACCGCCUUGGGAUAGGCUUGCGUCUGAUUAGCUAGUUGGUGUGGUUAACGGCGCACCAAGGCUACGAUCAGUAACUGGUCUGAGAGGAUGAUCAGUCACACUGGAACUGAGACACGGUCCAGACUCCUACGGGAGGCAGCAGUGAGGAAUAUUGGGCAAUGCACGAAAGUGUGACCAGCAACGCCGACGUGGAGGAUGGAAGGUAUUCUAUAUCG
rnacentral:rRNA from 1 species